GACGAACGCUGGCGGCGUGCUUAACACAUGCAAGUCGAGCGGUAAGGCCCUUUCGGGGGUACACGAGCGGCGAACGGGUGAGUGACACGUGGGUGACCUGCCCUCAGCUCUGGGAUAAGCCUGGGAAACCGGGUCUAAUACUGGAUAUGACUCCAUGACGCAUGUUGUGGGGCGGAAAGCCUUGUGCGGCUGAGGAUGGGCCCGCGGCCUAUCAGCUUGUUGGUGGGGUGAUGGCCUACCAAGGCGACGACGGGUAGCCGGCCUGAGAGGGCGACCGGCCACACUGGGACUGAGACACGGCCCAGACUCCUACGGGAGGCAGCAGUGGGGAAUCUUGCGCAAUGGGCGAAAAGCCUGACGCAGCG
rnacentral:rRNA from 1 species